rnacentral:tRNA from 1 species
UGUAACUCAGUGGUAGAGCACAUGCCUAGAAAGCUUGAGGCCCUGGGUUUCAUUCCCGGCA